ACAAGAUAAACAUCAAAUUCAUAGGAGUGCCAAACAGGGACCGUUUAAUCGAAAGGACUUCUCUGAUGACAGAGAUGUGGAAAAGACUACGUCCUUCUCUGGAAAACUACAAGGAUAAAAUACCCACCUUCUUCGGGAAAAAGUCCAUCAUAUGCGAAAGGAAACUUACUCACGUGCGAAAGACGAACUCUAAGAAUUGGAGAAUAACGGCAGUAGACAGCAGCUAACCUCCCCCUUGCUCAACGACAUUGAACAAUAGACAUGAAAUGACUCGCUGACCCCCUACAAAGUACUUGUGCUCGGAGGCAGAAUUUGGCAUCGUUUGGGUCGAGAGAUUUCCAAGGGUAAUGAUACAGUUAAACUGUAUAAAAAUACCUCUCAAAAACAACCUUCUCUUGGUCGGCCAUGUCCCUCAUCCUGCACUUGACCCCUGCAGAGGUCACAAGAACAUCGGAGCACAAAUGAGCGAGAAACGGGGAAGCCUUAGCUUCCGGGUCAAGGACUGCAUCACUAGCACCUACCUAUUGAACCUAUUGAUAGGUUUAAAAGUAGGCAUCUUCACGCAAUCUGCGGACC